rnacentral:rRNA from 1 species
UACGUAGGGCGCAAGCGUUAUCCGGAAUUAUUGGGCGUAAAGAGCUCGUAGGCGGUUUGUCGCGUCUGCCGUGAAAGUCCGGGGCUCAAUUCCGGAUCUGCGGUGGGUACGGGCAGACUAGAGUGAUGCAGGGGAGACUGGAAUUCCUGGUGUAGCGGUGAAAUGCGCAGAUAUCAGGAGGAACACCGGUGGCGAAGGCGGGUCUCUGGGCAAUAACUGACGCUGAGGAGCGAAAGCGUGGGGAGCGAACAGG